AAACCAGCACCUCAAGUGGUCAGGAUGAUUAUUGGGCCUAAAGCAUCCGUAGCCGGCUCUGUAAGUUUUCGGUUAAAUCUGUACGCUUAACGUACAGGCUGCCGGAAAUACUGCAGAGCUAGGGAGUGGGAGAGGUAGACGGUACUCGGGAGGAAGUGGUAAAAUGCUUUGAUCUCUCGAUGACCACCUGUGGCGAAGGCGGUCUACCAGAACACGUCCGACGGUGAGGGAUGAAAGCUGGGGGAGCAAACCGGAUUAGAAACCCCAGUAGUCC
rnacentral:rRNA from 1 species